rnacentral:lncRNA from 1 species
GUGAAGACAAUGGGCUUCAUGGUAAGAAACCUUGUUAUUACGGUCACAACAUAUCACCAGGCAGUAUUCAAGUGAAGAAGACUUUAACAUUUGUGACAGUUCAGUGGCUCUAUUUCUGAUGAAUGAACAACAGCUCUACAUAUGCCUUUGGAAGAGAAAUGUCCAGAAGAAUCCAGAGAAAUACUACAACAUACUAUUUGGCACACCUUUGAAAGUUAAUGAAAACUUGCUGAGUGAAUCAAUGAAGAAGUCAACAAAUCACUCAGGUGAAAUUUGUCAUUCUUUAUCAAGCAGCUAGAGCACGCUCAUUAAUUAAAAGUAUCAUAAAUCACUAGAACUAACAAAUGAAUAUUAGCAAAAGUCGUAUUUUUAGAAUCUGAGGAAGCACACUUAUUAGGUGUUAAAGCAAGUCUUUUCUCACUUUAUGGAAGACACGCAGACAAAACCUGGGAGACUGGUGCUGUCCAGGAGAAUCUUGAAACAACUCAUACAAAAAGAAAGAGUUUUAUUUGGAAGAGAUUUAUAAGAAGUGAUAUAUGGCAAGCUAUAUUUAGCAAGAAAUCUCAAUCCUAAUAUUGAUUCUGCCUGGCCAAACUUACUGGAAGGUAAAUGCCAGGUCCUCCAGAGAGAGCACAAGCUUUAGAAAUCACCAAAUGCAUAGCUCAGGGAUCUGAAGUUAGUUGAUAAUAAGGUUAGGGGUUGGUACCUGCUACCCACCUAGUCAGUGGCUGGCAACAGCAGAAGACAUAGGUCAAAGGGAAGCCACUGCCAGCCAUAUAGUUCAAGAUCUA